GAUGAACGCUGGCGGCGUGCCUAAUACAUGCCAGUCGAGCGAACAGAUGAGGAGCUUGCUCCUCUGACGUUCGCGGCGGACGGGUGAGUAACACGUGGAUAACCUACCUAUAAGACUGGGAUAACUUCGGGAAACCGGAGCUAAUACCGGAUAAUAUAUUGAACCGCAUGGUUCAAUAGUGAAAGACGGUUUUGCUGUCACUUAUAGAUGGAUCCGCGCCGCAUUAGCUAGUUGGUAAGGUAACGGCUUACCAAGGCAACGAUGCGUAGCCGACCUGAGAGGGUGAUCGGCCACACUGGAACUGAGACACGGUCCAGACUCCUACGGGAGGCAGCAGUAGGGAAUCUUCCGCAAUGGGCGAAAGCCUGACGGAGCAACGCCGCGUGAGUGAUGAAGGUCUUCGGAUCGUAAAACUCUGUUAUUAGGGAAGAACAAAUGUGUAAGUAACUAUGCACGUCUUGACGGUACCUAAUCAGAAAGCCACGGCUAACUACGUG
rnacentral:rRNA from 1 species